rnacentral:sRNA from 1 species
UUGUGUUAGGGAUUGAAACGGAUCCUUUUUAUUUUUCAUCUUAAACGUUUUUAAAAGAGGAAAAAUAAAAAGAUAUAGUGUAAAGCCCGACCCCGA